UGGGGAAUUGUUCGCAAUGGGCGCAAGCCUGACGACGCAACGCCGCGUGGAGGACGAAGAUCUUCGGGUCGUAAACUCCUUUCGAUCGGGAAGAAUGUUUCCGGGGUGAACAAUCCCGGAAAGUGACGGUACCGAGAGAAGAAGCCCCGGCUAACUCCGUG
rnacentral:rRNA from 1 species